GACGAACGCUGGCGGCGUGCCUAAUACAUGCAAGUUGAGCGCUGAAGGUUGGUACUUGUACCCACUGGAUGAGCAGCGAACGGGUGAGUAACGCGUGGGGAAUCUGCCUUUGAGCGGGGGACAACAUUUGGAAACGAAUGCUAAUACCGCAUAAAAACUUUAAACACAAGUUUUAAGUUUGAAAGAUGCAAUUGCAUCACUCAAAGAUGAUCCCGCGUUGUAUUAGCUAGUUGGUGAGGUAAAGGCUCACCAAGGCGAUGAUACAUAGCCGACCUGAGAGGGUGAUCGGCCACAUUGGGACUGAGACACGGCCCAAACUCCUACGGGAGGCAGCAGUAGGGAACCUUCGGCAAUGGAAGAAAGUCUGACCGAGCAACGCCGCGUGAGUGAAGAAGGUUUUCGGAUCGUAAAACUCUGUUGGUAGAGAAGAACGUUGGUGAGAGUGGAAAGCUCAUCAAGUGACGGUAACUACCCAGAAAGGGACGGCUAACUACGUG
rnacentral:rRNA from 1 species